rnacentral:rRNA from 1 species
UUGUACGCUGGCGGCAUGCUUUACACAUGCAAGUCGAACGGUAACAGGCCUUCGGGUGCUGACGAGUGGCGAACGGGUGAGUAAUGCAUCGGAACGUACCCAGAGGUGGGGGAUAACGCAGCGAAAGCUGUGCUAAUACCGCAUGUGAUCUGAGGAUGAAAGCGGGGGACCGAGCAGCAAUGUUUGGCCUCGCGCCUUUGGAGCGGCCGAUGUCGGAUUAGCUAGUUGGUGGGGUAAAGGCCUACCAAGGCGACGAUCCGUAGCUGGUCUGAGAGGACGACCAGCCACACUGGGACUGAGACACGGCCCAGACUCCUACGGGAGGCAGCAGUGGGGAAUUUUGGACAAUGGGCGCAAGCCUGAUCCAGCAAUGCCGCGUGCGGGAAGAAGGCCUUCGGGUUGUAAACCGCUUUUGGCAGGAACGAAACGGUGUCCGCUAAUACCGGGCGCUAAUGACGGUACCUGCAGAAUAAGCACCGGCUAACUACGUG